CCUACGGGUGGCAGCAGUCGAGAAUCAUUCACAAUGGGGGAAACCCUGAUGGUGCGACGCCGCGUGGGGGAAUGAAGGUCUUCGGAUUGUAAACCCCUGUCAUGUGGGAGCAAAUUAAAAAGAUAGUACCACAAGAGGAAGAGCCGGCUAACUCUGUUCCAGCAGCCGCGGUAAUGCAGAGGUCGCAAGCGUUGUUCGGACUCACUUGGCCUAAAGCGUGCGUAGGCUGUUUCGUACGUCGUGUCUGAAAGGCGCGGGCUCAACCCGCGGACGGCACAUGAUACUGCGAGACUAGAGUAAUGGAGGGGGAACCGGAAUUCUCGGUGUAGCAGUGAAAUGCGUAGAUAUCGAGAGGAACACUCGUGGCGAGGGCGGGUUCCUGGACAGUAACUGACGCUGUGGCACGAAUGCCAGGGGAGCGAAAGGGAUUAGAUACCCUGGUAGUC
rnacentral:rRNA from 1 species